ACGCUGGCGGCAGGCCUAACACAUGCAAGUCGAGCGGUAGAGAGAAGCUUGCUUCUCUUGAGAGCGGCGGACGGGUGAGUAAUGCCUAGGAAUCUGCCUGGUAGUGGGGGAUAACGUUCGGAAGCGGACGCUAAUACCGCAUACGUCCUACGGGAGAAAGCAGGGGACCUUCGGGCCUUGCGCUAUCAGAUGAGCCUAGGUCGGAUUAGCUAGUUGGUGGGGUAAUGGCUCACCAAGGCGACGAUCCGUAACUGGUCUGAGAGGAUGAUCAGUCACACUGGAACUGAGACACGGUCCAGACUCCUACGGGAGGCAGCAGUGGGGAAUAUUGGACAAUGGGCGAAAGCCUGAUCCAGCCAUGCCGCGUGUGUGAAGAAGGUCUUCGGAUUGUAAAGCACUCUAAGUUGGGAGGAAGGGCAGUUGCCUAAUACGUAACUGUUUUGACGUUACCGACAGAAUAAGCACCGGCUAACUCUGUGCCAGCAGCCGCGGUAAUACAGAGGGUGCAAGCGUUAAUCGGAAUUACUGGGCGUAAAGCGCGCGUAGGUGGUUUGUUAAGUUGGAUGUGAAAUCCCCGGGCUCAACCUGGGAACUGCAUUCAAAACUGACUGACUAGAGUAUGGUAGAGGGUGGUGGAAUUUCCUGUGAAGCGGUGAAAUGCGUAGAUAUAGGAAGGAACACCAGUGGCGAAGGCGACCACCUGGACUAAUACUGACACUGAGGUGCGAAAGCGUGGGGAGCAAAC
rnacentral:rRNA from 1 species